rnacentral:misc_RNA from 1 species
CUGCGAGUUCGCGGGAGAGUAAGUUAUUCCCAGGGUUUUUAUUUUGUACUUUAAACUUUAAAUUUAUUUUUUAUAUUUUUUUAAUAUUCAUGUUUUUGAAUGUUUGAUUUAAAUAAUGUAAAAAGUAAAAUAGAUAUUGACAUGAAUUGAACAAAGACAUAUAUUGUUUUAUGUCUGCAUAAACAAAUUGGCAAAAUAGAGAUGGAAGAUAAAAAUAUGGUCAAAGUAAUAAGAGUCUAUGGUGAAUGCCUAGGA